rnacentral:misc_RNA from 1 species
GUGAAUCAUCGAAUUUUUGAACGCAAAUUGCACUCUCUUCGGAGAGUAUGCCUGUUUGAGGGUCAGUUUAAAUAAAAAUCGGUGUGGUUGCUGCCUUUCGUGGUGACGCACCGGAUUUGGGUCGUCUUGCCUUCGGUUAAGUGACCUAAAAUUUUGCAUGAUUUUUUUCGAACGUAUUUAAAUGAUUUUACGUACGUUUGCGAUAUCGAAUACUAGGGUGGGCCAUCCCCAUGAUCGCCCCCAAUAAUUUUUCA